AGCCACAGGCAUAUCGCUCUGCAGCCCAAGAGCGGAUACUCACUGAAGCCAAGCAGGGCUGAGCCUGGUCAGUGUCUAGAUGGGAGACCACAUGGGAACACUAGGUUGCUGUUGGAA
rfam:Danio rerio chromosome 13, GRCz11 reference primary assembly.